rnacentral:rRNA from 1 species
GUCGAACGGACAUUGCAUGUUUUACAGUUGAAGGGGCAACCCGGAUGCUGUGAAAUGUGUAAUGUUAGUGGCAAACGGGUGCGUAACACGUGGAUAAUCUGCCUUUGUCACGGCCACAACUCUGAGAAAUUGGAGCUAAUUGCCGAUGGUAUUAGGUAACAUAAGUUACUCAAAUUAAAGGUUUGACGCAAGUCAAGUCAGACAAAGAUGAGUCCGCGGACUAUCAGCUUGUUGGCGGGGUAACGGCCCACCAAGGCUAUGACGGUUAGCCGGCCUGAAAGGGUGAUCGGCCACAUUGGAACUGAGAAACGGUCCAGACUCCUACGGGAGGCAGCAGUGGGGAAUAUUGGACAAUGGACGCAAGUCUGAUCCAGCAAUACCGCGUGAGGGAUGAAGGUCUUCGGAUUGUAAACCUCUUUUAAGGGAUGAUAAAGGUACACGUAAGUGUAUUUGAUAGUAAUCUCAGAAAAAGUCACGACUAACUACGUGCCAGCAGCCGCGGUAAUACGUAGGUGGCAAGCGUUAUUCGGAAUUACUAGGCGUAAGGGACAGGUAGGUGGUCGGGUAAGUUGAGAGUGAAAUCCCCUGUAAGAUCAGGGAGGGUCUCUCAAAACUGCCUGGCUUGAGUGUAGAAGGGGGAAUCGGAAUUCCUGGUGUAGCGGUGAAAUGCGUAGAUAUCAGGAGGAACACCGAUGGCGAAAGCGGAUUCCUAUUCUAUUACUGACACUGAUCUGUGAAGGCGCGGGGAGCAAACAGGAUUAGAUACCCUGGUAGUCCGCGCGGUAAACGAUGUUCACUUGGUAUGGGAGGCAUCAACUCCUUCUGUGCCGUAGCUAACGCGUUAAGUGAACCGCCUGGGAAGUACAACCGCAAGGUUGAAACUCAAAGGAAUUGACGGGGGCCCGCACAAGCGGUGGAGUAUGUGGUUUAAUUCGACACAACGCGAGAAACCUUACCCAGGCUUGAAGAGCUAGUGGUAAUUGACGAAAGAUCAAUUGACCCGUAAGGGAGCUAGUAGAGGUGCUGCAUGGUUGUCGUCAGCUCGUGGCGUGAGGUGUAUGGUUAAGUCCCACAACGAGCGCAACCCCUGUUCUAUGUUGCUAACCCGCAAGGGUGCACUCUUAGAAGACUGCCUCGGUUAACGGGGAGGAAGGUGGGGAUGACGUCAAAUCAUCAUGGCCUUUAUGUCUGGGGCCACACACGUACUACAAUGGCUACUACAAAGGGAUGCUAGACCGCAAGGUGGAGCAAAUCCAAAAAAGUAGCCCCAGUUCAGAUUGAGGGCUGCAACUCGCCCUCAUGAAGUUGGAAUCGCUAGUAAUCGCUGAUCAGCACGCAGCGGUGAAUACGUUCCCGGGCCUUGUACACACCGCCCGUCACACCAUGGAAGCUGAUCGCAAUAGAAGUUUUGUUAUGCAGAAUGAAGUUGUGAUUGGUGACUGGGGUGAAGUCGGAACAAGGUAGGCGUACGAACGUGCGC